rnacentral:lncRNA from 1 species
AGAUGCAACAGCAGCAGCAACUGCAGAGGAUGGCACAGUUGCAGCUGCAGCAACAGCAACAACAGCAGCAACAGCAGCAGGCUUUGCAGGCCCAGCCACCAAUGCAACAGCCACCAAUGCAGCAGCCACAGCCUCCUCCUUCUCAGGCCCUACCCCAGCAGCUGUCACAGAUGCAUCAUCCACAGCAUCACCAGCCACCACCUCAGGCUCAGCAGUCCCCCGUUGCUCAGAACCAACCACCACAACUCCAACCACAGUCACAGAACCAGCCUUUGGUGUCACAAGCACAAGCCCUGUCUGGACCAAUGCUCUAUGCUGCCCAACAGCCACUGAAAUUUGUCCGUCCUCCGAUGGUGGUCCAGCAGCCGCAGGUGCAGCCCCAGGUGCAGCAGGUGCAGCCCCAGGUGCAGCCACAGGCAGCAGUGCAGACAGCACAGUCUGCCCAGAUGGUAGCUCCCGGCGUUCAGAUGAUUGCUGAAGCCUUGGCCCAAGGCGGGAUGCACGUAAGAGCCCGGUUCCCGCCCACCUCCACCAUGUCUGCUGGCCCGUCAAGCUCCAUCUCUUUGGGCGGACAGCCCACGGCACAGGAAAGUGCAUCUAUGAUUCUUGGAGAUGGAGUCCCUGACUUUGCCUGAGGACCCACAAGCAGGAACUAUCUAUCCUCUGCAUAGUCAGACACAGGACACUUGUAUAACUGUCUUCAAAGGAGGGUCCUCUAGCUCAAUACACAUUGGAUUUACAGGGUUGGGUGGAAUUGUGGGGAUAAACCACUUAACAGCAUGGAAUAUUGUUUUUUGUAGACACUAAAGGUCCCCACAUUUUGAGGGUGUGAGGUCUGUCGGAUCGGAUCUUGAGCUGGGUUCUUCAUGUGUAGACUCUUGUGGCGGGUCAUAACUCCAACAUUUAGCUAAGUUUACAAAUGGAAAGGAGCUGGAAGGGAGUUCAGUGCUGAGGAUCAGAAGUCGACCACAGGACUCUCUUAGAAACCCUCGGCCCUGCUUUUGUCACUGAUCUGACAACCUUGUUCUUUCUGCUGACCGACAGAUCUGUCCAUGCAUCUUUGACUAGGUUCUGUAUCUUGCCUCCAUGGCCUGUUGUGGAGUAGUUCAUGCAUUUUCCACUGAGUAGGUCUUCUGAGCUAUAGUACUUCCUAACCCCAGACGGCAAAGAAAUUAAAGGAGAGGAAAGAAAGAGGAGAAAAAGAUAAAUGCUAAAAUAAAAGGUACGUGGAAGAUUUUGGUCACCCUCCAGGAAUGUUGUGGCUUGGUUGAUGGAGUGGUCACUGGUACAUGCCAGCUUGAGUCCUUCAGAUUGACUCAUCGUCCCCUGGUAAGUGAUGGCAGGUAGGGCAUGUGUCCCUGACGCUUUGAGGACUGUGGCAGCAGGGAGAUAGACAGACCUGGGCUGCACUAGGCUCGGAUUUUUUUUUUAUUUUAUUUUUUGUCUGGUUGGUUUUUGGGUUUUGUUUUUGUGUUUGUUUUUUUGAGACAGGGUUUCUCUGUGUAGCCCUAGUGUCCCGGAACUUACUUUGUAAGCGAUGCUAGCUUUGAGAGCUCCCCCUGCCUCUGCUGCCUGAGUGCUGGGAUUAAAGGUGUGGACCACCAUGCCUGACUGGAUUUUUUUUUUUUUUUUUUGGGUCUGGUUUCUGUUUUGUUUGUUUAAGCACAUUCACGUUUGCUUGUCUACUCAGAGGACAAAGGCCCUGAGAAUACUUAAGGGAGAGAUGUUAGUGGAGGCCCUAGAGGCCUCCCUUUGACCAUACAGCAUAGCUGUCAGAUCUCAACCCUUCCUGUGAAAACAAGAACUCCCCACUUUCAAAAGGGCCAGGACAGCACUCUCCAUAUUGUCCGUCUGUGAUACAUGGUGAAUGAAUGUAAGCAGGCAAGACCAUGACAAGUGUUCCUUGAUUCUCUGAAGGAGGACUCCAUCCAUGGUUCAUGCUUGGUUCUGGGUCAGGAACAAGAGCGAUAUAAGUCCUAGAUGCAUGCGUGUAAAUGGU